rnacentral:lncRNA from 1 species
UAGGGUUUAGGGUUUGGUUUAGGAUUUGGGGUUUAGGAUUUAUUUAGGGUUUAGAAUUUGGAUUAGGGUUUCAUUUAGGAUUUGAAGUUUAGGGUUUAUUUAGGAUUUAGGAUUUGGUUAGAGUUUGAUUUAGGAUUUAGGAUUUGGAUUAGAGUUUGAUUUAGGAUUUAAGAUUUGGUUUAGAAUUUGGGAUUUAGGAUUUAUUUAGGAUUUAGAAUUUGGUUAGGAUUUGGUUUAGGAUUUAGGAUUUGAUUUAGGAUUUGAUUAGGAUUUGAUUUAGGAUUUAGGAUUUGAUUAGGGUUUGAUUUAGGGUUUAAGGUUUGGUUUAGAAUUUGGGAUUUAGGGUUUAUUUAGGAUUUGGUUGGGAUUUGAUUUAAGGUUUGUUUAGGGUUUGAUUUAGGAUUUAGGAUUUCAUUCAGAUUUAAGAUUCAAUUAGUUUUGGCUUAAAGUUUGAAUGAAGUUCAAUAAAAUUUUAACUAGAAUUAAAUUAAGAUUGAAUUGAGAUGUAUUUGAGUGAUAUUUGUGAUCCUUCUAAUAUUUCUUUAAGAAUUCGUAUUGUUUGUUUGAAAUUUCUUUGAGAUUUUUUUGAAUUUGAUUAAGCUUGUUUAGCAUUAUUAUGGUCUAAUUAGAUCAUUAUUAGUAUUCUAUUAGAAUUAAGAUUUUGUUAUUGCAAUUUCCAUUCUUCCUUCUACAGCUAGGUGCCCAGAGCAUUCUCAAGCAAGACUUCACGUAUUACGACAACGUGACUCAAUUAUCUCUAAAAUCUAAGAUCCUUUCAAACCAUAAUAAUAUAAAACUUGUUACAAUGUAAGACAAUAUAGACUAGAAUACAACAAAAUAAAAUGGAAUAUGAAAGCCAAAACAAAGCAAAAGAAAAUAAAAUAAAAUUGAAUAAAAAAGUAUAAAACCAAACUUUACCAAUAAAAAGAGAUCAAAGCCAUAUCUGACUAGGUACUCAAAUAGCCUUGGCCAGUCCUAUUUAUACUUUAUUCAACCAUCUUAGAACUUUUUAGAAUAUUUUUAAUAAUAUGUGUUAUCUAAAUAAUUAUCUUAAGUUUUUUUUAGAAUAUUUUAUGGUAGAUCCUAUAUAGACCAUUAAUUUAGCUUUAAUUCUAGAAAUUUUUAAAAACUUCUAAAAACUUCCUAAUAUAGCUCCAAUUACUUAUUUCUAUGUACCAAUAAUACAAAUAUCUUAUCUAUACUCUGUUACAAUUAAUUCUUCUCUACUAAUGUAGAACAUCUUUAUUUCACUCUCAAUGGUAUUUUUAAAUUAUUUCUUGACAAUGGAUGAGGUUUUGUACAUGUUCCUAUCUUAUAUUGUAGAUGGAAUAAUCUUUCUAGAGGACUUUGUACUGAAGUUGUGGAUGUCUAUUGUCAUGGCAAAGGUAGCAAUGCUCCAAAAUACUCUCUAUUUCAUAUUUUUGUCAAUUACAACUCGUGGUAGUACUAGUGGUAGUGGUUGAUAUUGAUUUAAAAAGUGCCUUGGCUUAGUAUAAAACUCUUUUAUAUGAAAAACAUAGAAGAUUGGAUAGAUCCAAAUAUAUAACAAAAAUUUGAAGUAAUAUGCAACAUGAAAAAUCACUACAGAAAUAUAAAAAGGUCCAAUCUAUUGAGAUACCAACUUAUGUAUUUGGGUUGAUGUAGCAAGUAGAAAGUUGAUAUUGAAGAAUAAUACAUGGUCACCUUUCUUAAAGGGCUUAUAUUGCCAAUAGUUAUCUGCAUAUGGCUUUUGUCAAUUUUAUGAUGUAAGAAGGUGGUGUCAUAUCUCUUGCAAGGGUGUUGUAAGCCAUCAUAUAAAUUCUUCUAUUAUCAAGUUGUUGAUAUCAAUGGGAUGAUAAAAAAAAAUUACUAACAUAAUCGAAUGCUAACUGGUAUUAAGGAAGAAUCAUGAAUGAUUGAUAUUUACUUGAAUACUAUUAUUAUAAAUAAAUUAUAAAGGUGUCAAAUAUUCAUUCCAGUUAUUAUGAUAAAUUGCCAUGAAUGCCCGUAGCAUAUCCUCCAAGGUCCAACUUGCAUGUUCUAUUUGUUUAUUUAUUUGAGAAUGAAAAGUCAUGGAUAUGGCAAGUUACUAACUUAGUAGCUUGAACAAAACAUGCUAAAAAAUUCUCAUGAAACAUGGAUCUUGAUAUGAAAUGAUGACACAAGGUAAUCUAUGGUGACAAAAGAUAAUAUCAAAGAAGAUCCAUACAAGUACUGGACAUUAAUAUUAGAGCAUACCACAACAAAGUAAAGUUGCUUCAAGAGUUGAUCCACAAAGAUAACAAUUGCAGUAUAAUUGUGAGGCGUCUAUAAUAAAUACAUAAUAAGGUUUAUAGUCACUUGCUUUCAAUGUGUUGUAGAUAGUAGAAUUCACUACAAUAGUCCAAAAGAUGCUACGGUGCAUGCUUUAUUACGUUGAUAUGACUUGCAAGAGCAUACUAAAGCUCAAACAUUAUAAUCCAAACUUGUUUAAAACCAUGUGGUUAAGAUCUAUUCUAGAGUCUUUUUAUGGCUUAGAUAUCCAGAUAUUGGAAUAUCAUGUCUUUCUUAAAGUAUGUACAUUCAGAGUAUAGUAUUAUUAAAUACAUAAAUCUUCUUCUUCAAAUUAAACAAGCCAUCACUAAGAUGGUAAUCUCAAUAUUACACAUUAUUCAUCUUCAAUCAAUCAAUAAUUAUAUUGAAGUAAGUAACUUGAUGCAUAGCUUUUUUUUAUUUUGCUCUUUUGUUAGGUUUGAAAUCAUAUCAUUAAUGGUAGAGACUUUUAUCUUGUCCUCUAAUUUGGGCUUCAAAUGUGAUCUAUGUGAUAAGAUGUCUGGUGCAAUAUGUUGUUGUCCUUUCUUAUAUUCAAGCUAAAUAUCAAAAAGUUAUAAUUUUUCUUCUCAAUGAUGAUGUCAUGAUUUUAUAUUUUUCAUAUACAAAUUUUAUAAGAACGACUAAUAAUCAAUUCAAACAAUCACUGGCUUUUCCAAUAAAUAGUGUCACCAUACUUUUGUGGCAUGUAUAAUUGCUAAUUGCUCUCAAUCAUAUGUAAAGUAAUUAUGCUCUUUUCUUUUGAGCUUGCAUGAUUCAUAUGCCACGAGUUGAAGGUCGUUACCAAAGUCUUGUUGUAAAAUCAUGCCAAUAGCAAAGUCAAAAGUAUCAAUGUUAAGUAUAGAAGGAAGGUUGAAAUUAUACGAUUGCAAUAUUAGAGCAAUAAUAAGUGUCUUCUUUAACUUAUCGAAGGUCCUUUUUUAAUCCAAUUUCCAUUCAAAUGCAACAUCUUUUUCUAAUAGAUUUAUCAAUUAUGCAAUAAUAUAUGCAAAUUGCUAAACAAAAUCACAACAAUAUCUUGUAAGGCCUAAAAAUGAGUGGAAUUCAAAAGCAUCCUUGGAGGUUGGCCAAUCCUCCACCACUUUUACUUUAUCUUGCUCUAUAUACAUGCCUUAAAAACAUAUGACAUGCCCAAAAAAGGUAACCUUUGACUUCUAAAGUUUAUAUUGUGAUUGCUUACAAUAGAAGUAACUAUCUUGUAAUUGGCACAGUACUUUUCAUAGAUGUUGCUUAUGCUCCUCAAGAAUUUUAUUAUAGAUUAGGAUAUCAUUCAUGAAGGUAAAUACAUACUUUUCUGAAAGGUUUCAAAAAAAAUUGUUUAUGUAAUCCAAAAAGAAGCUAAAGUAUUCGUAAGGCCAAAAGGUAAAAUAAUCCAUUUAAAAUGUCCAUAAUAUGUACAAAAUGCCAUAUUUUCUAUAUUCUCUUUUGUAAUAGGUGUUUGCUAAUAGCCACUUCAAAAGUCCUAUUUACUAAAAAUGAUUGCACCUUAAAGUUGAUUAAUAAGAUCAUCUAUAUAUAAAAAUAGAUAUAUAUUCUUAAUAAUUUUCUUAUUAAAACCUUGAUAGUCAAUGCAAAGCCAAAGUACACUAUUAUUUUUGAGUGCAAAGAAUAUAGGUACCUCCCAUGAUGACAUAUUUUUUCAAAUGAAACCUUUUUCCAAAAAUUUAUCUAAUAUCUUUUAGAAUUCUUUAAGUUCAUUUGAUACUAGGCAAUAAAUUGGUCGAUUUGUGGAUUUGGUCCCAAGUAAUAGUUCUAUUUAGAAGGAGGCAUACCAAUAGAUAAGUUGGUUGAAAAGACAUCUUAAUAUUCAUGUUUGAAUUGCUCUAUCUAUUCUAUUCCUUUGAUUAUAUUUCUCACCAUUGAGACAUGAUUUAGAACCACCAUAUAUACUAGUUGUUUAUGUUGUAUUUGCUUCUCCAUAUAGGUUAUUCCUACAAAUAAGCCUUUAGCACCAAAUUAUUUUUUUACCUCACUUGAUGCAAAGCAAAAACAAUCACCUUACAUCCACUAUCUUUGAAGGAAAUCAUCUUUGUUAAUCAAUCAACUUGCUUAUUUUUUCUUAGUCAUCUGCUAAGUAUAUAUUACCUUCUUUAAUUACCUUAGUUUUAAUUCCAAAUUAAUCUACAAUCCCAAUUAAGAUGUAAUUUCUAUGAAGCCGCAAUCAGCAAGCACUCAAUAUGAUUGUUUUUUUAGUCAACCCAUUAGAUACACCAAUUGAUCCUUUUAAUAGUUUUCUGAGGCCAUGCAAUUUGUCCCUAAGAGAUAAUAGCUAUUCCCAAUAUUGGCCCUUAAUGCUUUUAUUGAAGAGUCUUACUUCUCUACUCUAUUUUAUUAUUGACUUGAUGAUUCUUGAGUUUAUAAACCUACCUUAAUUUAUUGGUGUAUGAACUUUGAUAUUUUGGAAAAUCUCCAAUUUGAUGGCUUGGCUUCCAAUAGUAGAAACACAAUUCUUUUUGCACCAAUAUUUGUUGUCUCUAUAGUAUUAGUAAUCCUUGUAAGGCAUUAAUCUCUAUUUGUAUUGAUUGUUGUAAGUUAUUAGAUAGCAGCAUAAAUAAAUGAUAUAGGCAUCUUUAGAAGGAAAUUAAGAGUAAAUUCUAGCAAAAUUUACUUAAAAAAACUAGAUAUUGAUACGCAAAGAGGGCUGGUUAUGAACCAGGGUCGAAAUCAGACCCUGAGGCACAAAAUCAAGUCUCGACGACGACUCCGGGAUUCUUUUACAAAUCAAAGAGUGGGAUUUGACAGCAAAUUGAAAAAGGUUUCUAUAAGCAUUAGUUUUGGGCGAUUUUGAGUUUUUAUGACUUUGUAAGAGCUUUACAAAGUCAAGAUUGUUUUUAGAUGACUUGGGAUUUAUGAAAUAAAAUAGGAUUGAUGUUUCUAGUGAUUUUAAGAAAGUUGUAAUAGAUCUAUAGGUGAAAUUUUGUAGGUUAAUGGUCAUAGUUGUACUUAGUAUGUGUUAUGAAUCUUAGCUGGAUCUAACAAUUGAAUUGAGGAUUAUUGAGAUUUAAAUGAAUUAAGGUCUUAGAAAGUAGAAUUUUAGGUCCAGUGAGGAUUUUUAAGAUUUCUUGCAAUCUACUACUUGGAUUAGAGUGAAAUUUGUGUGAGAGAUAUUAGACUUAUUUUUCUAUGCCUAUGAGAAUUUUGAAAUCAAUCGAAUGGUAAAAAGGAGAGAUAUUGGCUCUGAGAGAUUGACAUCAAGGUUGGAGAAGGAAGUCAGCCAAUAUCCGAGCACGUUUUUGAAAUUAUCAUCUAUUUGGUAAUUCCGAUCCUUUUCAAAGCUUUUAGGCUUGUUUUCAACUCAAUUUUUAAGAAGUGUACAAAAUUUGAAUUAAGAUCAAUAAUUCAUUCAUUAGUUAUUGAGGUUUAAUUUUGUUACAGAAAUUAUUAGGAUUUAGUUAGGAUUUGAUUAAGGAUUAGGAUUUGAUUAGGAUUUGAUUUAAGAUUAGGAUUUGAUUAGGAUUUGGUUAUGAUUUGAUUUAAAAUUAGGAUUUGGUUAGGAUUUGGUAUAGGAUUUAGAAUUAAGGUUAGAGUUUGGUUAGGAUUUGAUUUAGGAUUAGGGUUUAGAAUUUGAUUAGGAUUUGAUUUAGGAUUAGGAUUUAGGAUUUGGUUAGGAUUUAAUCAAGAUUUGAUUUAGGAUUUAGGAUUUUAUUUGAGUUUGUUUAGGAUUUAAGAUUUAGUUAGUUUUUGGCCUAAAGUUUGAAUGAAGUAAGAUUUCAACUAAGAUUAAAUUAAGAUUGAAUUGAGAUGUAUUUGAGAUAUGUUUGUAAUUAUU